rnacentral:rRNA from 1 species
GACGAACGCUGGCGGCGUGCUUAACACAUGCAAGUCGAACGCUGAAGCUUGGUGCUUGCACUGGGUGGAUGAGUGGCGAACGGGUGAGUAAUACGUGAGUCACCUGCCCUUUACUCUGGGAUAAGCCUGUGAAACUGGGUCUACUACUGGAUAUGACAUGCCACUGCAUGGUGGUGUGUGUAAUGGGUUUUUGUGGUUUUGGAUGAGCUGAUGGCCUAUCAGCUUGUUGGUGGGGUAAUGGCCUACCAAGGCGACGACGGGUAGCCGGCCUGAGAGGGUGGACGGCCACACUGGGACUGAGACACGGCCCAGACUCCUACGGGAGGCAGCAGUGGGGAAUAUUGCACAAUGGGCGGAAGCCGGAUGCGGAGACGCCGCGUGAGGGAUGACGGCCUUCGGGUUGUAAACCGCUUUCAGCAAGGAAGAAGCGGGAGUGACGGUACGUGCAGAAGAAGCGCCGGCUAACUACGUG